GCACAGGUGGUUCAGUGGUAGAAUUCUCGCCUGCCACGCGGGAGGCCCGGGUUCUAUUCUCGGCCAGUGCA
rnacentral:tRNA from 2 species